rnacentral:rRNA from 1 species
AGAGGAUUUACCCUGGUAGUCCACGCCCUAAACGAUGUCAACUGGUUGUUGGGUCUUCACUGACUCAGUAACGAAACUAACGCGUGAAGUUGACCGCCUGGGGAGUACGGCCGCAAGGUUGAAGCUCAAAGGAAUUGACGGGGACCCGCACAAGCGGUGGAUGAUGUGGUUUAAUUCGAUGCAACGCGAAAAACCUUACCCACCUUUGACAUGUACGGAAUCCUUUAGAGAUAGAGGAGUGCUCGAAAGAGAACCGUAACACAGGUGCUGCAUGACUGUCGUCAGCUCGUGCCG